rnacentral:rRNA from 1 species
GACGAAGGUGGCGAGCGUUGUUCGGUGUUACUGGGCUUAAAGCGUGUGUAGGCGGAAAAGUAAGCGUUUUGUGAAAUACCCGGGCUUAACCCGGGAAUUGCUUGGCGAACUACUUUUCUUGAGGCAAGUAGGGGUGCAUGGAACUCUUGGUGGAGCGGUGGAAUGCGUAGAUAUCAAGAGGAACGCCGAUGGAGAAAUCAGUGCACUGGGCUUGUCCUGACGCUGAGACACGAAAGCGUGGGGAGCGAACGGGAUUAGAUACCCCCGUA